UACGUAGGGGGCUAGCGUUGUCCGGAUUUAUUGGGCGUAAAGAGCGUGUAGGCGGCCAGGUAGGUCUGGUGUGAAAACUCGAGGCUUAACCUCGAGAUGUCAUCGGAAACCAUCUGGCUAGAGUCCGGAAGAGGAGAGUGGAAUUCCUGGUGUAGCGGUGAAAUGCGCAGAUAUCAGGAGGAACACCGGUGGCGAAGGCGCACAUCUGGCCCGAUACUGACGCUGAGGCGCGAAAGCUAGGGGAGCAAACGGG
rnacentral:rRNA from 1 species